AGGCAGCAGUGGGGAAUCUUAGACAAUGGGCGAAAGCCUGAUCUAGCCAUGCCGCGUGAGUGAUGAAGGCCCUAGGGUCGUAAAGCUCUUUCGCCAGGGAUGAUAAUGACAGUACCUGGUAAAGAAACCCCGGCUAACUCCGUGCCAGCAGCCGCGGUAAUACGGAGGGGGUUAGCGUUGUUCGGAAUUACUGGGCGUAAAGCGCGCGUAGGCGGAUUGGAAAGUUGGGGGUGAAAUCCCGGGGCUCAACCCCGGAACUGCCUUCAAAACUCCCAGUCUA
rnacentral:rRNA from 1 species